GAGAAAAUCUUCUAGCGAGGUUCUAGCCGCCCGUACCCCAAACCGACUCAGGUGGUUAGGUAGAGAAUACCAAGGCGAUCGAGUGAAUCGUGGUUAAGGAAUUCGGCAAAAUACCCCCGUAACUUCGGGAGAAGGGGGGCCCAGAGGGUGACGGGACUUGCUCCCCGAGCCUGAACGGCCGCAGAGACCAGGGAGAAGCGACUGUUUACUAAAAACACAGGUCCGUGCCAAGUCGCAAGACGAUGUAUACGGACUGACGCCUGCCCGGUGCUGGAACGUUAAGGGGACCGGUUAGCCUCACGGCGAAGCUGAGAACUUAAGCGCCAGUAAACGGCGGUGGUAACUAUAACCAUCCUAAGGUAGCGAAAUUCCUUGUCGGGUAAGUUCCGACCUGCACGAAUGGCGUAACGACUUCUCCACUGUCUCAACCACGAACUCGGCGAAAUUGCACUACGAGUAAAGAUGCUCGUUACGCGCAGAAGGACGGAAAGACCCCGGGACCUUUACUACAGCUUGGUAUUGGUGUUCGGUACGGCUUGUGUAGGAUAGGUGGGAGACUGUGAAGCUGACACGCCAGUGUCGGUGGAGUCAACGUUGAAAUACCACUCUGGUCGUUCUGGAUAUCUAACCUAGGUCCGUAAUCCGGAUCAGGGACAGUGCCUGGUGGGUAGUUUAACUGGGGCGGUUGCCUCCUAAAAGGUAACGGAGGCGCCCAAAGGUUCCCUCAGCCUGGUUGGCAAUCAGGUUUCGAGUGUAAGUGCACAAGGGAGCUUGACUGUGAGACUGACAAGUCGAACAGGGACGAAAGUCGGGACUAGUGAUCCGGCGGUGGCUUGUGGAAGCGCCGUCGCUCAACGGAUAAAAGGUACCCCGGGGAUAACAGGCUGAUCUUGCCCAAGAGUCCAUAUCGACGGCAUGGUUUGGCACCUCGAUGUCGGCUCGUCGCAUCCUGGGGCUGGAGUAGGUCCCAAGGGUUGGGCUGUUCGCCCAUUAAAGCGGUACGCGAGCUGGGUUUAGAACGUCGUGAGACAGUUCGGUCCCUAUCCUCUGCGCGCGCAGGAGACUUGAGAAGGGCUGUCCCUAGUACGAGAGGACCGGGAUGGACGAACCUCUGGUGUGUCAGUUGUUCUGCCGAGAGCACCGCUGAUUAGCUACGUUCGGGAGUGAUAACCGCUGAAAGCAUCUAAGCGGGAAGCAUGCUUCAAGAUGAGGUUUCCAUGGGGUUUACCCCGAGAGGCUCCCAGCUAGACUACUGGGUUGAUAGGCCGGAUGUGGAAGUGCGGUAACGCAUGGAGCUGACCGGUACUAAUAAGCCGAUAACUUGACC
rnacentral:rRNA from 1 species